rnacentral:rRNA from 1 species
CUACGGGUCGCUGCAGUGAGGAAUUUUGCGCAAUGGGGGAAACCCUGACGCAGCAACACCGCGUGAGUGAUGAAGGCUUUCGGGUCGUAAAGCUCUGUCAAGUGGGAAGAACAUAAUAAAUGCCAAUAACAUUUUUUAUUGACGGUACCACUGAAGGAAGCACCGGCUAACUCCGUGCCAGCAGCCGCGGUAAUACGGGGGGUGCAAGCGUUAUUCGGAAUUAUUGGGCGUAAAGGGCGCGUAGGCGGUCUUGUAAGUCAGAUGUGAAAGCCCGGGGCUUAACCUCGGAAGUGCAUUUGAAACUGGAGGACUUGAGUAUGGGAGAGGGAAGUGGAAUUCCUGGUGUAGAGGUGAAAUUCGUAGAUAUCAGGAGGAACAUCGGUGGCGAAGGCGACUUCCUGGACCAAUACUGACGCUGAGGCGCGAAGGCGUGGGGAGCAAACAGGAUUAGAUACCCUCGUAGUC